rnacentral:ncRNA from 1 species
ACUUUGAACCGAUCGUGUAGGAUAGGUGGGAGGCUUUGAAACCGGGCGCUAGUUUCGGUGGAGCCGACCUUGAAAUGACCACCCUGGUUUGUUUGAGGUUCUAACCUUGGCCCGUGAAUCCGGGUCGGGGACAGUGCAUGGUAGGCAGUUUGACUGGGGCGGUCUCCUCCCAAAGUGUAACGGAGGAGUUCGAAGGUACGCUUGGUACGGUCGGACAUCGUACCUAAAGUGCAAUGGCAAAAGCGUGCUUAACUGCGAGACCGACAAGUCGAGCAGGUGCGAAAGCAGGACAUAGUGAUCCGGUGGUUCUGUAUGGAAGGGCCAUCGCUCAACGGAUAAAAGGUACUCUGGGGAUAACAGGCUGAUACCGCCCAAGAGUUCAUAUCGACGGCGGUGUUUGGCACCUCGAUGUCGGCUCAUCUCAUCCUGGGGCUGUAGCCGGUCCCAAGGGUAUGGCUGUUCGCCAUUUAAAGAGGUACGUGAGCUGGGUUUAAAACGUCGUGAGACAGUUUGGUCCCUAUCUGCCGUGGGCGUUGGAAUCUUGACGGGGGCUGCUCCUAGUACGAGAGGACCGGAGUGGACGUACCGCUGGUGUACCUGUUGUCUCGCCAGAGGCAUCGCAGGGUAGCUAUGUACGGAAGAGAUAACCGCUGAAAGCAUCUAAGCGGGAAACUUGCCUGAAGAUGAGGAUUCCCUGGAGACUUGAUCUCCCUGAAGGGUCGUUCGAGACCAGGACGUUGAUAGGCUGGGUGUGGAAGCGCAGUAAUGCGUUCAGCUAACCAGUACUAAUUGCCCGUGCGGCUUGAUCCU